UACAGAGGGUGCAAGCGUUAAUCGGAAUUACUGGGCGUAAAGCGUGCGUAGGCGGAUAUUUAAGUCGAAUGUGAAAUCCCCGGGCUUAACCUGGGAACUGCAUCCGAUACUGAGUAUCUGGAGUAUAGUAGAGGAAAGUGGAAUUCCCGGUGUAGCGGUGAAAUGCGUAGAUAUCGGGAGGAACAUCAGUGGCGAAGGCGACUUUCUGGACUAAUACUGACGCUGAGGCACGAAAGCGUGGGGAGCAAACAGG
rnacentral:rRNA from 1 species